UACGUAGGGUGCAAGCGUUGUCCGGAAUUAUUGGGCGUAAAGAGCUCGUAGGCGGUCUGUCGCGUCGGCUGUGAAAACCCGGAGCUCAACUCCGGGCCUGCAGUCGAUACGGGCAAACUGGAGUACUGCAGGGGAGACUGGAAUUCCUGGUGUAGCGGUGAAAUGCGCAGAUAUCAGGAGGAACACCGGUGGCGAAGGCGGGUCUCUGGGCAGUAACUGA
rnacentral:rRNA from 1 species